rnacentral:lncRNA from 1 species
UGAAAUAUAUAUAAUCGCAAAAUUAAUACAUUAUACUAAAAAUUUGUCUAAAAACAAAAAAAAAAAAGAAAAUUCUUCUCAUCGAGACGAAUAUUACGGAGAAACGGUGUAAUCGCAAAAUUAAUAUAAUAGAAUAAAAUGUAAUACGAAUUUAAAAUUAUAUUAUUAAUAAUAAACUCUUUCUCUUUCUCAGCGAUAAAUUAAUUACGCAAAAUAUUACGUAAUACGUAAGUAAUGAUAAUUAUGUACAAUUACGUAUAUACGUAAGUAAUGAUAAAUUUUUCUAAAAGGAAGAGAAAUAAAACUAAAUUCUUCUCAUCGAGACGAAUAUAGGGACGAUAAAUUAAUUACGCAAAAUAUUAUACGUAAGUAAUGAUAAAUUUUUCUAAAAGGAGGAGAAAUAAAACUAAAUUCUUCUCAUCGAGACGAAUAUAGGGACGAUAAAUUAAUUACGCAAAAUAUUAUACGGAGUACGCAGCGGAGAAACGGUGAAGAACGAUAAUCGUUGCACGUUUCUUUCCAUUGGCCAAUUCGCCGUGACGCGAAAACAGUGUGAGAAGGACAUUUUGCGGCCCGCCACCUCUCGUGCAAUUACGGAACGAACGAGGAAUCGGUCCGAUAAAAUACGAUGGACUGGCGUAUACGUCGCAAGGGUCGUGAACGGACAAAUAGAACGAGGCUAACGGGAUCCUCGAGAGGUCCUGGCUGGUCGUUUCGAUACCUCCUUUCGGCCUCGUUCUAUAUUUUUCAUCCAUCCUCCGCAACGUUCCACCGAUUCGCUUUACGAUAAACGACGGUACAAUGCGCCCCAUUUUCGCCAAUUCCUCCCUGCAUGUAAUUUCGUCAAUGAUCACUUCUUUCGAAGCGAAGAAGUUAGUUCUAUUUUCGAUUCUGGAUAUAUGUCGUUAUCAGAAACCUUGCGCUUUCGUAUUAUAAGAAGAACUCGUAGUAAAGAGCUUUAUCUCGCUUUGAUUAAUCUUGAGAUUGAUAAGAAUAUUUAUAUUUCGUGAAAUGUUUAAUAAGAUAUUGGAUUGAUUAAAAAUUGUUUAUCGAGAUGUGAAUGAAAGUCUCUUUUUUCUCUUUUUCAAAAACGUUUAAAAAACAAGAUAACAAUGCUAAGGGUGUCGUAAUUUAAUUACAAAUUUAAUUACUUUUAAUUACGAAACAAAACUAAUCUAAUAUUAUAAUUUUAAUCAAAUAACGAACUUGAUCACGUACAAAGCGAAGUCUCGUUAAAUUUUGCAAAUAUAAAUGUUGAUAAGGAAUGUACAAGUUUAGACAAUAAAAAUGCUUUAGCUGUGAAACGACGCGUAGCGUAACAUCGUGAUACGCAUGCAUGCACCUAUCGUUACGAUAUUCGCAAGGACGAGCGCCAGACGGUUCUCUCAAUUUAAUUUCAUUUAGGGCCACUUAAACGGUCGCGGUGCAACAACCGCCGAAAUGCCACAAGACGACCGCGCACAACGUUCACGAAAUUAAAAGACCAGAUUGUAACCCUCCAAAUCGUUUUUCUUCGAGCUAUUAAAUUCUAACUGUUUGCCGGGAACCAGAGUCUUCUCUAUCUUUUCAUUCUUCGGUAUCUUCAAUAUAAAUAAUUGUAAGAAAAAUAAACCUUUCAUUUUUUACCAUACGAUGUCGAAUAAUUAUUCGAAAAAAAAAAUUACCAAUCGUAAAAAUUUCAUUUCAUUAACAAUUUUUCAAAUGUUUAUUUAAAAUUUACAAUUAAUGAUAUUAUAUCUUGUAAUGGUAUAUGACAGCGAUAUACGAGAGAUGGAUCGAAAUAUUUUGACGGAGCGUGAAACGCAUUCGAAACGAGCGUUACUUAUCUCUGCUGAUCGAAUCAUUCGCGAGCUGAAAACUAUAAACUAAUGUGCGCAUGCUCGAAAGAUAUCUAACCUCUGGCCGAGAAGCGUGGAACAAUAGAAGGACGAUGAAUCGUGAAAAAUCGUGGGAAAUUUUUUUUCCCCUAUACCUGUUCGUUCCUGCCACCUGGUGCCACCUAGGUAUAUUUCUAGUGACGAAUAUAAAAGAAAAAGAAAAGAAAAGAAAAGAAAAGAAAAAAAGGAAUGGAUAUUCAGGAACGAAAAACGAAGACGUUUGAUUUCUCUGCGAGCAAGGAGAAAAAAGUUAUAUGUUUAUUCUUCUAAAAAUAACGCGAUUAGAAAUAAGCGCGACAAAUUGAACACGUAGUGAAAAUACGGAUUUAUCGAGUCGAGUAUUUUCGCAAUAAUUCGCGAUAUUGAUACAAUGUUGCAAAGUCUAUUUCAAUUGCACAAAGACGAUUUUUAUUUAUAUCGAAAAAUUAUUAUAAAGAAUCAAGUAUUAUAAUUUUAAAAUUUUCCUCUUUUUAUUCGUCAAUUCGAUGCAAAUUGUCGAGCGCGUUCUUUCUUCCUUUUUUCCUAUUCGCAGGUGAAAAUAAAAAUAUUGCGAAAUAUUCUCGCGAUUCUACUCGUUUCUUCCUCUGAAUUUCAACGAACGUGGUAAUGAAUUUCAGCAACGCGAAACACAUAUACAACUCGUGUCACAACACUCGUUGUUGUUUGCAUUGGCGAAUUAAUACGAAAAAAGAACGAUUAAUGCGAGAUAAAAAGAAGAUUAUCAUAAGCGAAGCUAAAAAAUACCCGUUAAUUUGUCGUUUUCACCGAAGUAUUCAAAGUUCUUCUUCUCGUAUUUGUUUCCUUUAAUGAUCAAUCUUUCCCGCCAUUAAAUUUCACCGUUCGCAAAAGCAUAAAAAUCAUACACUUCAAAAAAAAAACACCCAAUAAAAAUUCCAUUCUAUUCGAAAUUCUUCACUUGGUAAAAUCUAGGGAAUUUUUAAUAUUCGAUAAAAACAGGUGCUAGUUUCUCGUAAAAAAAAAAAGAAAUACCGCGAAACACGUUUCGCAACCCGUAUCCCAUGCUCACACACACUUAUUUCACCCUGUUUAAUUAUUUCAAAAUUAUCUUCUAAUUUAUAACCUAUAACGCGUAUAGAGAUAAUAUUAAGUCGGGCGAAGGAAAUAACUAGUUUUAGUUCAAACGGGAAAAGGGAAAAAUAUCUAUGAUAUUCGCUAACCUGUUACCAAGUAGAAGAGGACGUAUAUACAUUUACCAGUUUCACUGGGGCACCGACUAUACUUGGGACGGACCACACUGUACGUACGCGCUAUACAUCGGUUCUGUUAAUGUCGCGCGGGAGCAAGAAUCCUUGUACCUGUGCGACGAGUUCCAUCUUGAAUCGUUCGAAAUGGCGGAAGCGCCACGAAUAGUAUAGAGAUAGAAAAGGACGAAAAAAAGGGUAUAAAAGGAACCAAGAAUACACUCUCGAACGGUUUACGAUGCGUUGUCGGGGUGUGGCGCUACCAAAAGGUUUCGUUCUCUCAAAAUCGUAUGGCAAUUUUUUUUUUUUUUUAAAUAAAAUAUAAAAUAAUCUUCCAAUUAUCCAAUUUUUUUUUUUCAAACAGGAAACGCUUUUAUCAUAAACCUAACCUCUCUCUCG